GGAGAGCAGGAAUGGCAGGAGAGCGGUGAGAGACCUCCGUCCCAGUGAGGAUGACAUGUUCUAACUCAGGAAAUGAAUAGAUGCUCUUGCGAUUGAAGAAAAAUCUACGCUGGAGGCAGACAGGCUGGCAGCCAGCUCUUGCUGAUGGUGAGGAGCCUCAUUAUCUUAAGACAACACACAGUGGAGAUGUGCUUUACGUAAUUGGCCUGCCCUGUGAAAACCCCUGGCUGUUUUUUCAGAUAAGGAGACUGAAGCAUCUAGAGUUGGAGUAAUUUCCACAAGAUCACAGAGGCAAGAUUUCACUCUGUCACCCAGACUGGAGUGCAGUGGCACAAACAUAGCUCACUGAAGCCUCAAACUCCUGGGCUCAAGAGAUCCUUCUGCUUCAGCCUCCUGAGUAGCUGGGACUUCAGGGUCUUGCUCUGUUGCCCAGGCUAGAGUGCAGUGGCCCGAUUACAGCUCACUGUAGCCUCGACCUCCUGGGUUCAGGUGAUGUUCCCACCUCAGCCUCCUAGGUACCUGGGACUACAGAGAGAAGGUGUGGGUGGACAAAGCAAAGCAGAGCCCUGACCUCACACCAGCUGGCUGAGCUGUCUUGGCUUGCAUUUGCUGUUCCAGCAUUUGUGGAGUUUGAAAUCUGCAUGCUUGGAGUGCGGAGAGCUGGAUCUUGCACCACAGUCUCCCUGUGGGCUCUUGAAUGAGAAAACCAGGGGAAGCAGAGGUAAGAACCUGUUCAAGAAGGCACAUCUCAGAUGUGGAAGAACCAUGAUUCAACUCGAGUCUGUCUGCUUCCCAAGACUGUGGUAUUUAAACAGCUUAUAAUGAAAAUUCCUUCUAUAGCUCCCCAUAAAAGGGCACACAGUUCUUUCUUAACGUAUUAUUUCAGGCAUUCAUUCACCAUUGAUGUAUUUGUGAAGGUGUUCUCUCUAAAUAAACUAUUGGGACCUUACUUGACUGUGA
ensembl:lncRNA LINC00970 long intergenic non-protein coding RNA 970